rnacentral:lncRNA from 1 species
UUACUGUCUGCGGUGGUGAUUUUGAAGGGAGGUUUUGGGAAGAUGUGAUUACUCAUAAUCUACUUCCUUUUUUGGAUUUUGGAUGUAAGGGAACCUAACUUAGCUAUUUAAAGCUGGGUGAACAGGUAUUAAAUGUAUGCUUAAAUUGGUUUUUUGAAAUCUGUUGCUUCAAUUUGGGCCAUAACAUGAAUGAAAUCUAAUUUGGUAGCUAUAUGUUUAAUUCUCCUUUGCUAGGAAAUUUGUUAUUCAGGUUCUAUGGCACUGCAUUUUUUAAGAGAAUUUGAGAAUUAUAAUGCAGUCAUUAUGGUCUAAUCUUUUAAGUUCUUACAGUAGCUAAGGAUAUCUUAAGCAGAAAUCUUCACACAAUAAGUUGGUUCGACUUUGAAACACUAAAGAAGGCAACCAACAAUUUUCACCAGGAUAAUCUACUUGGACGAGGAGGAUUUGGGCCAGUCUUCUUGGUAAUAAAAAUAUAAAUCUGUUUUGCAUCUUCAUUAUGUAAUCAUCAUUUCAAAAAUUUCUUAGAAUUGAGGGCAAGAUCUGUAUGGAGCCUUGGCCUUAUUGUGUAUGGUGUAAACAAACUGCGUUAAUAUUGCAUUGACUUUGUCUUCCUUCUUUUCAUAGGGAAAAUUAGAAGACGAGAGAUUGGUCGCUAUAAAGAAACUAUAUGUUGACAAAUCACAGCAAAUAGAAUCAGAAUUCCUAGCAGAGGUGAGGAUCAUCACCAGUAUACAACACAAGAACCUAGUCCACCUUCUAGGGUGUUGCUCCGAUGUAAUAAUUCUCAGUUUAAGAUGUGGUAAUUGAUUUCUUUACAUGGUUUCAUGGCUGGAUCAGUUGUGUAUUUAAAUUCUCUGAUGUGUAUUUAAAACUACAUCGUGAAUUGUUUAUUUUGGACAGAGAUCGAGACUAGUUGGGUUCGAUAUCUCUUCGAAUUAUCUAUCCAAGGGACUUGGUUUCACUUCAAUUCGA